UGUGGUAUUAUAACCUAAGUCCCAUAGACAGGUAAUUAAAUGUUUUAUGUUAUAAUGUAAACAAUGAUUGAUCUUGAUUGUGGUAUUUAAUCAGUGUUUGUAUAAUGUUUACAUUCUUGAAACUUUCACAGUUUGAUAAACGUAUAAAUAAAGAAAUACUAUUUAAUAAUUAUUUGAAUAUUGUAUAUUGAAUAUUAUAGCAAAUUACUAUAAAGAAUAACCUUCUUUUCAUACUUAUGUAUUUGUGAUACUUUGCAAUAGCACUUUUAUUUAUUUACUGUUAAUUAUCAGGGACUAGAUGUACAAUUGUCUUUUAAUGCAUAAUGUGAUAUUUUGUUUAAUACAUCUGUUUAUACAUAUUAUAUUGUUAAUUGCAGGGUUAUAUUCUUACCAUCUAUUAAAUAUUUCCUGUACACAAGGGUGUCUAGUUUUUGUGAUUAGCCAGUGGCCACCCCUGUUACAUGUACCUGGAUGUCAUUUAAGACAUGCAUUUCCAAAUGACUUAAAAAGAAGGAAAAGUUGGAUCAACGCCAUGGCCCAUACGCAGAUUGGACGAGAACACGGUGAAAUCGUGGAAUCCAUCUCAAUCAGCUGUUAACUGAAAAAGACUACGUGCAGGAAACUAUUCAUGAGCGCAAACCCUCCAUACAGAGACUUAAGUCUACUGCCAUUCCCAGCCUAUUUUCCUGGAUCAAGCAAGAGACUGAAUCGUCCGCAAAAAGAAAAAUCAGGGCAGUUUUUUGUGAAAACAAAAGAACUAAACUUGAUGAAUAUUGUAGUAGAAAUCUAGAGGAAAGUUUUGAUUGUAAAGUUGGUUUUCCAGAAGAAGUCAUUCAUACUGCAGACAGGAUUUAUGACUGUCCACCACCAACUGCCGAGCUAAUGUUGAGCUUCACAGAUGGAAUUACGCAAACACCAUCAAUGCCUAUAUUUUCAGCAGAGAAUUUUAAAAUGAAGACAUGUGACACAGCCAUGCAUUUUUAUACCGGUUUAGAGUUGUAUACUAAAGUUUUAUUUGUUUUGACCACACUUGGUCCAGCAGCAAAUUGUUUGAGAUACAUAUAUUUUCAAAUUGAUAGGGUGUCAUUUGAAAAUCAUUUUUUUUAUGACUUUGAUGAAAUUGAGGCAUUAUACAACCAACUUUGAACUGUCUAGAUUCUAGAUUGAAACUAGUGUUAAGAAUAUUGUGUAAACAUGGAUUGUUUUUAUGUCUAAACAGUGGCGUGAGGCUAACACUUGGUCAUUUAGUGGUUUAGUCAGGUAUUUUUCGCCAUCCAACUUCAAAUUAAAGUUUCCUACAACUUGGAUUAUUAUUGACAGCACAGAAUAUCCCGUGAUAAAACAUAAAGCUCCUAGAGCUCAGACAACCUUUUCAUCAUAUAAAAACAGAAACACUGAAAAUACUUGUACAGUUGUAUGUUCGACACCUGGUGGUUUAGUCAACUACAAAAAUGUAUGUCUCUAAUGCAUAUGUUGGUUGUACCAGUGACUGUGAAAUAGUUGAAAGAUGUAGAAUACAUGUGUAGUUCAAUUAUGUGAUCCAGGUAACAGUGUGAUGGCAGACAAAGGUUUAAAUGUGCAAGAUUUGUUUGCUCACUUUUUUCAAAAAAAAGAAACAGAAUUAGUUCCAAAACUCUUAUACGGGAUAGAAAAGUCUCCAAUUAACACGUGCACAUAGAGCUAAUUAUUAGACUUGGCAAAACAUACAAAAUUCUAAUAAAUCCUAUGAAUGGAACUGAAACAAAACUUUCAUCUGAAAUAACAUUUAGUUGUUUCAUGUUGUGUAAUUUUAGAACUUGUAUUAUGCCAAAGGAUGCAUAAAUAAAAGUGACGCAAUGAA